CCUGCUUUUGUGGGGUGCUCGAGUGGCGAACGGGUGAGUAACACGUGAGUAACCUGCCCUUGACUUUGGGAUAACUUCAGGAAACUGGGGCUAAUACCGGAUAGGAGCUCCUGCUGCAUGGUGGGGGUUGGAAAGUUUCGGCGGUUGGGGAUGGACUCGCGGCUUAUCAGCUUGUUGGUGGGGUAGUGGCUUACCAAGGCUUUGACGGGUAGCCGGCCUGAGAGGGUGACCGGCCACAUUGGGACUGAGAUACGGCCCAGACUCCUACGGGAGGCAGCAGUGGGGAAUAUUGCACAAUGGGCGGAAGCCUGAUGCAGCAACGCCGCGUGCGGGAUGACGGCCUUCGGGUUGUAAACCGCUUUCGCCUGUGACGAAGCGUGAGUGACGGUAAUGGGUAAAGAAGCACCGGCUAACUACGUGCCAGCAGCCGCGGUGAUACGUAGGGUGCGAGCGUUGUCCGGAUUUAUUGGGCGUAAAGGGCUCGUAGGUGGUUGAUCGCGUCGGAAGUGUAAUCUUGGGGCUUAACCCUGAGCGUGCUUUCGAUACGGGUUGACUUGAGGAAGGUAGGGGAGAAUGGAAUUCC
rnacentral:rRNA from 1 species